GACGAACGCUGGCGGCGUGCCUAAUACAUGCAAGUCGAGCGAUGAAGCUUGGUGCUUGCUCCUAUUUCAAUAGCAGCGAACGGGUGAGUAACACGUGGGGAAUCUGCCUUUGAGCGUGGGACAACAUUUGGAAACCAAUGCUAAUACCGCAUAAUAUCUUUAAACAUAAGGUUUAAGAGUGAAAGAUGGAAUUGCAUCACUCAAAGAUGAUCUCCCGUCGUAUUAGCUAGUUGGUGAGGUAAAGGCUCACCCAGGCGAUGAUACAUAACCGACCUGGGAGGGUUGUCGGCCACAUUGGGAAUGGGACACGGCCCCAACUCCUACGGGAGGCAGCAGUAAGGGAUCUUCGGGAAUGGGCGGAAGUCUGGCCGAACAACGCCGGGUGGGUGAAGGAGGUUUUCGGAUCGUUAAACUCUGUUGGUAGGGAAGGACGUUGGUGGGAAUUAAAAACUCAUGACGUGACGGUACCUACCCAGAAAGGGACGGCUAACUACGUG
rnacentral:rRNA from 1 species